GGGAAUGUGGCUUAGUGGUAGAGUGCUUGCCUACCAUGCAUGAAGCCCUGAGUUCAAUUCCCCAGUACCA
rnacentral:tRNA from 1 species